rnacentral:rRNA from 1 species
GACGAACGCUGGCGGCGUGCUUAACACAUGCCAGUCGAACGAGAGCGUAGAGAAAGCUUGCUUUUUCUACAAUCUAGUGGCAAACGGGUGAGUAACGCGUAAACAACCUGCCCUACGGAUGGGGACAACAGCUGGAAACGGCUGCUAAUACCGAAUACGUUCCGAAAGUCGCAUGACUAUCGGAAGAAAGGAUGGCCUCUAUUUAUAAGCUAUCGCCGGAGGAGGGGUUUGUGUCUGAUUAGCGAGUUGGAGGGGUAACGGCGCACCAAGGCGACGAGCAGUAGCCGGUCGGAGAGGAUGAACGGCCCCAUUGGAACUGAGACACGGUCCAGACUCCUACGGGAGGCAGCAGUGGGGAAUCUUCCGCAAUGGGCGAAAGCCUGACGGAGCAACGCCGCGUGAGUGAAGACGGCCUUCGGGUUGUAAAGCUCUGUUAUACGGGACGAAUAAUCUUGUGGUUAAUACCCAUGAGAAGUGACGGUACCGUAAGAGAAAGCCACGGCUAACUACGUG